AUUGGUGAUAGGAGAUCUGGUGAAUUUAAAGGUUUACCUGGUUGAACCUGAGUUUUGUUCUCCUCUUGAGCCUGAUUCUUCGAUCGUUUCUUCCUCUCCACCUUGUCUCAGUUCAGACCUUGUUCUAUAAUUCGGCCGAGUCACCGAUUUUGCGGCCGAGAAUACGGUGAUCGGAGCUGCACCGUGGCGAGUCAGGGGUGAUCGGUAUCAUUAUACGGUGAGGCGAGUUAUGUCCGCCUGGACCGUAGAAUUACAGAACGCGGCGUAUAAAAAGUAAAAACUCGGAAUCUCAGAUCAAUUAGAAUUACAACGAUAGCGUAAUUCUCAAAAAAUAAUGAGCCCGGAAGUGUUGCAUAAACAUAUGAUUCGAAGUUGUACACAUGAUACUGUUGAUGAUUGAUACUGUGGUGGUUUCUGUCAUGUCCGGUGGUUCGAUAAAUCAAUCCAAACGAAGAAGACGACAUUCCUCAAGCUUAUUAUCAGGACUUCACGAUUUUCAGUUUAUUUUCUAAAAGCCCAAUUAGUUGUAAUAUUAAUAAACCCAAC
rnacentral:lncRNA from 1 species